rnacentral:lncRNA from 1 species
UUAGUUUCGUUGGUGCCUUUGUUAGUUGAAAAAGCUUAAGUUUUAGUGACUGUAAUAGUGAACUAGUGUUUACGAAGUGAUGUUGUUGGUGACUUUAUUUGUUGAAAAUGCUUAAGUGCCGGUGACUUUACAAAUGAACUUUGUUUAGAAGGUGAUGUGGUUGGUUACUUUAUUUGUUGAAAAUGCUUAAGUGUCGAUGAUUUUAAAAGUGAACUUUUGUUUAGAAGGUGAUGCUGUUGGUUACUUUAUUUGUUGAAAAUGCUUAAGUGUCGGUGACUUUAAUAGUGAAUUAGUGUUUAGAAGGUGAUGUUGUUGGUGUCUUUAUUUGUUGAAAAUGCUUAAGUGCCGGUGACUUUAAUAGUGAAUUAGUUUCUUUGGUGCCUUUGUUAGUUGAAAAAGCUCAAGUAUUGGUGACUUUAAAAGUGAAUUUUUGUUUAGAAGGUGAAUUGUUGAAACUAUUAUUGUAGUAUUUUCGUACUCACUUUUGUUGGAUAUUUUGUAUGUGUUGUACACUUUUGAAAAUUUCCAUUUGUUUUUUUUUGUGUUGUUGUAUUUUCAUUUUGGUUACUGCUGUAUAUUAUUGUUGUGGUUGCAUGCAAAAUUUGGGUUUUUAAUUUUUUUUUUUAAAUUCCCAGAAAAACCGACCACAAGUGGUCGGUUUUCUAUAAUUUUUUUUCUUUUUUUGCAAAAACCGACCACAACUGGUCGGUUUUUCUAUAUUAUUAUUAUUAUAUUUUUGUAUAAAACCGACCACAAGUGGUCAGUUUUUCUAAUUAUUUUUUUUUUGUAAAAAAACCGACCACAAAUGGUCGGUUUUUUGUAAAAAUAAUUUUAUUAAUUUAACUAAAAAUUGACCACGUGUGGUCGUUUUUUAUUAAAUUAAUUUAUUAAUUUAUUAAUUUUAUAAAAAACCGACCACUUGUGGUCGGUUUAUUUUUCCCUAAAAUUAUAUUUUUCAUUUAAAUAAAAUAAUAACAAAUUUUAAAAAGGAAUAUAUAUAUUUUUUAAAAAACCGACCACUCGUGGUCGGUUUUUAAAAAGCUACUGCUACUUUUCCGACCAAAAAUUUUAGUUGGUUUUGUGGUCAAAAAAUGGGAAAAACUGACCACUUGUGGUCGAUUUUUGUGGUCGGUUUUUCGCUUUUUUUAGUAGUGAUAAGUAGUAUUCUGAAAAUACUAAAUUUUAUUGUCUUGUGGUGAUAGAAAAAAUGACUAACAAAAGCCAAAUGCAAGAUGCGGCUACGACUGUGGGGGCAACUAGUAUUGCCUCAACAAGUCGAGCAAAUGCUCCGCAAUCAAUGGCACUUGCGGAGAAACCUGAAAUAUUUGUGGGCAUUGACUUUAAGCGAUAGCAGCAGAAGAUGUUCUUCUGCCUCACUACACUAUGUCUUCAAAGGUUCACUAGUGAGCAUUCUCCUGAGGUUCCCGAGGGAACCUCGAACAAAGAGCAUUUCAUAAUUGUAGAGGCUUGGAAACACUCAGACUUCCUUUGCAAGAAUUAUAUCUUGAGUGGUCUCCAAGACGACCUCUAUAAUAUCUACAGUGGAACUAAGACAUCAAAGGAAUUGUGGGGGGGCACUAGAACGAAAAUACAAGACAAAGGAUGUGGGAAUUAAGAAAUUCUUUGUUGUAAAGUUCCUGGACUUUAAAAUGAUAGAUAGCAAAUCGGUUGUCUCUCGAGUGCAGGAAUUGCAAGUAAUCAUCCACGAUCUCUUAGCAGAAGGUAUAUCUUUGAAAAAUACCUUAGUUGAACAAAUUGAAAAUGUUCUUAGUACUCACAUAAACUAUUUUGUAGGUUUAAUUGUGAAUGGUGCAUUUAAAGUAGCAGCGAUCAUUGAGAAGCUACCACCUAUGUGGAAAGACUUCAAAAACUACUUGAAGCACAAACGCAAGGAGAUGACUAUCGAAGAUCUUAUUGUCCAAUUGCGUAUUGAAGAUGAUAAUAAGGCUGCCGAGAGAAGGUCAAAAGGGAAUUCUUCAAUUAAUGAAACACAUAUUGUAGAAGAUGACCAAAACAAUUCUAAGAAAAGGAAGAAAGUUGAACAAAGAGGCAAUCAACCCAAGAAGAAAUUCAAGGAAAAGUGCUUCAAAUGUGGCAAGAUUGGCCAAAAGUCCAUGGAUUGUCGUGCCCCUAAGAAAGGCAAGAAAAAGGACUAAGCAAAUAUGAUCGAGUCCAACAAAGAAUGUGAUGAUCUGUUUUCUAUAAUUUCAGAAUGCAACUUGGUGGGGAAUCCUCGUGAGUGGUGGAUGAAUUCUGGUGCCACCCACCAUAUUUGUGUCAACAAAGAGUUGUUUUCGUUAUUCGCUCCGGCUCAAGUAGAAGAAAUGAUCUACAUGGCUAACUCCGCUACAGCUAAGGUAGAAGGAACAGGAAAAGUGGGCUUGAAAAUGACUUCAGAAAAUGUCUUGACGCUUUACAAUGUCUUGUACAUUCUAGAAUUACUUAGGAACUUGAUUCUAUUUCACUUCUAGACAAGAACGGAUUCAAUGUAACCAUUUCUGGAAAAAUUAUAAUUAGCAAAGGAGAAGUGUAUGUAAGAAAAGGCUAUCUCACCGAGGGCCUUUAUAAGAUAAAUGUAAUGAAUGUUGAAAUCAAUAAAAGUUCAAAUUCUUAUUACUUGCUUGAGUCUUAUAAUUUGUGGCAUGAACAUUUAGGCCAUGUUAAAAUGUUAUGAAAACUGAUUGACUUAGAGGUUUUGCCAAACUUUGAGUUCAAUAAAUCAAAGUGUCAAAUAUGUGUGGAAUCAAAUUAUGCAAAGCAUCCUUAUAAGUCUGUUGAAAGGAAUUCCAAUCCCUUAGACUUGAUACAUACUGACAUUUGUGAUAUGAAGUCAAUACUAUCACGUGGUGGGAAAAAGUAAUUUAUAACUUUUAUUGACGAUUGCACUAGAUAUUGUUAUUUCUAUUUGCUAAACAGUAAGGAUGAAACAAUAGAUGCAUUUAGGCAAUACAAAACUAAAGUAGAAAAUUAGUUAGAGAAAAAGAUAAAAAUGAUAAGAAGUGAUAGGGGCAGAGAAUAUGAAUCUCCCUUCGCUGAAAUAUGUGUAGAGAAUGAAAUUGUCCAUCAAACUACAGCCCCAUAUUCACCUCAAUCCAACGGAAUUGUGGAAAGGAAAAAUCAAGCGUUGAAGGGAAUGAUGAAUAUCUUACUUAUAAGUUUGGUUUACUGCAAAACUUAUGGGGGGAGGCUAUCCUUACAGCCAACCGUAUACUCAAUAGAGUUCCCCAUAGUAAGACACAAUCAAUUCCUUAUGAAAAUAGAAAGGAAGGAAACCCAACUUGAAAUAUUUCAAAGUGUGGGGGUGUCUAGCAAAGGUCCAAGUUCCUAUGUCUAAAAGGGUUAAGAUAGGACCUAAGACUGUGGACUGCCUGUUCAUAGCAUAUGCUAAAAGCAGUAAAGCAUGUCAGUUUUUGGUUCAUAAAUUUGAACAUCCGGAUAUAAAUGAAAAUACGAUAAUUGAAUCAGAUAAUGAUGAAUUCUUUGAAAAUAUUUACUCGUAUAAAAUUAGACAUGAACAGUCUAGUCGAGGAUCUAAAUGAACUCGAGAUGAACCAAAUGAUAAUGUACAUAAUGAAGAGAAUCCAAGACAUAGUACACGUCAAAAAACGUCUACUUUGUUUGGAUCAUAUUUUGUAAUAUUUCUCUUAGAAAAUGAGCCUCAAACAUUUAAAGAAGCGAUGUCGUCGUCAGACUCAUCCUUUUGGAAAGAGGCAGUCAACAGUGAGAUUGAUUUAAUCUUAAGCAACCAUACAUGGGAAUUGGUUGACCUUUCUCUAGGAAAUAAACCUUUAGGUUCUAAAUGGAUCUUCAAAAUAAAAAUGAAGGUGGAUGGUACUAUUGACAAAUACAAGGCAAGACUUAUAGUAAAAGGCUUCAAACAAAAAGAAGGCCUUGAUUACUUUGAUACAUACUCGCCAGUAACAAGGAUAACAUUGAUUAGAAUGUUAAUUGCCUUGGCAGCGGUAUAUGAUCUUGAAAUCCAUCAAAUGGAGAAUUGGAGGAAGAAAUUACAUGGAACAGCCUGAGGAUUUUGUGGUUCCAGGAAAAGAGAAUAAGGUGUGUAAGCUUAUUAAGUCAUUGUAUGGACUAAAGCAAGCACAUAAACAAUGGCAUGCAAAGUUUGACCAAACCAUGUUGGAAAAUGGGUUCAAGAUAAAUGAAUGUGAUAAAUGUGUUUAUAUUAAAGACACUCCGAAUCACCAAGUCAUUGUUUGUUUAUAUGUGGAUGAUAUAUCGAUCAUCAGUAGAGACAUUUUUGAUAUAAAUGCAACAAAACGAAUGCUCGAGAGUAAGUUCGAUAUGAAAGACCUUAGAGUUGUGGAUGUGAUCUUAGGAAUAAGAAUCCAUAGAACUCCACAAGGAUUGGCAUUCUCACAGUCUCAUUAUAUCAAAAAUGUACUUGAAAAAUUCAAGUAUAUAGAAUUUGAUAUUGUCAAGACUCCAUUGGAUGUGAGCUUUGCACUUCGAAAGAAUGAAGGUGAAAGUGACUCACAAUUGGAGUACGCAAGAGUAUUGGGAUGUUUAAUGUAUAUAAUGAACUGUACACGACCAGAAAUAGCAUGCACUAUUAGUAAAUUGAGUCGGUACACGAGUAAUCCCAACAAAACUUAUUGGAUGGCAAUGAAAAGAGUUUUGGGGUAUCUUAAAUACACUCAAGACUAUGCAUUGCAUUAUAAUAAAUAUCCCAUGGUACUCGAAAGAUAUAGUGAUACAAAUUGGAUCAUCGGAUCGAACGAAGUAAAAUCCACAAGUGGAUAUGUAUUUAUUAUCGGUGGAGGAGCAGUCUCUUGGAAAUCUUUCAAACAGACUUGUAUUGCUCGCUCUACAAUGGAAUCUGAAUUUAUCGCAUUGGAUAAAGUCGGUGAAGAAGAAGAAUGGCUCCGGAAUUUCUUGGAAGAUAUUCCUUAUUGGCCUAAACUAGUGGCACUAGUAUGUAUACACUGUGAUUGCCAAGCGGCAAUAGGUAGGGCAGGGAGCAUGAUGUACAAUGAUAAAUCUCGUCACAUACGACGGAGACAUAAUACUGUUAGAGAACUUCUCUCUAGUGGAAUUAUCACUAUUUACUAUGUGAAGUCAAAGGAUAAUGUGUCAGAUCCACUUACAAAAGACCUAUCUAGAGAAGGAGUAGAAAGAAAUUCCAAGGGAAUAGGUUUAAGGCCUAGGACAAGUCAGCAUGGCAGUAACUCUACCUAGCAGACUGGAGAUCUGAAGAGAUAGGUUCAAGGAGAUCAAACAAAGUUGUGACUAACAGGUUCAAAAUUGUCAAUUACCCAACUCAUUCUCAUGAUGUAGACAAUGUUUAGUAAACAAGGAUAAGACUUAAGGUGAAAAGUCUCUUAAUGAUUAUCUAAAUUUGGCAGAUUUGACCAAAUAUUUUAAUUUAUAUGAUUGAAAAUUUAUAAAUCACCUAUGUGAGGGAGAAGUGGAAGCCGCUUCAAGGAGAAUGUUAGUAAAGGCCUAUUCUCUACGCUCUCAUGAAAUCGGGACGUGUUCAUGGCUGAAAAGAACAAAAUAGUGAGAACCAUAAAUAGUAAAAGGUUAGUUGUGUGACAUGUAUUGUCUAGGUGUACAUUAAAGAUCGACGGUUCGAAGAUAUCAAAUCUACCAAUUGACUGAGUGCAUCUGAUGCAUGUUUACUACGGAAAGUUCAAAGGGAAACCCACUUAUCCAGAUGCAAUCAGUCUUUUCUUAAUGAUCACUUACUUGCCCAUAAAAUUUUAUGAAAAAUAGUCAUUCACCAUUCAUGUGGGGGAUUGUUGGGUUCAAAGUAUAUGAAAAGUGUGAAUGAAAAACGGAGGAAUCCAAGUGGAAGGGAAAAUAGAGAAGAAAACACUAAAAUGGAAAGUGUACUCUAAAAUAAAAAGUCUCCUAUUUCUCCCACAUUGGUGGGAGAAUGUGACUUUCAAGUGUUUAUAUUAAGAAACACUUAUUCCACUUGGUAAGUGAGCCAAGAAAUAAGAAAUGCCUCGCGCCGUCAUUGUUGUUCGCUCAACUUCGUCUUUGGCUUUGGCUUUGAAUUUGGAAAAGGAUCGAUCAAUGAGAUCUAUCUUUUUGGACAAAAUUUAUUUGACAGAAAUUUAAUCUGAAGGAAAAAUAUAAAUGCAGUAAAUUUUGAUCCUCCAGUUAUAUGUAUGCAGCAUUUCAAACUAAUGCUUCAAAAGGAUACACCGUUUCGAACUGAUGCUUCAGAAGGAUGCAAUCCUUCAACGAAAUGACACACUGAUUCAUGAAAUGGUUUACCUGUUCGGAAAAGAUGCAAUCUUUUGACAAAUAGACAUGAUUUUUCAGGAAAGUUCACACCUUUUAAGUGAACCAUUGCCACUUUUUAGAAGAGGCACAUGAAGGCUAUAUAAACCUGCUUUCAUCCAUAGGUUUAGACAUGAAUUUUCUGAAUUACAAACUCUUUUCUUGUCUUCAAAAUAUUCUGUGUGAUCAAUCAAAUUAUUGAGUGAGUUCGUUGAAUCCAACAAUUUGAGGUACCGCUAUUGUUCGGAUUGAAGGUUAUUUUAUCCUAGGAGGAAGAUUCCAUAACCUCGAGUACAGUGAGGGAAAUUAUUCCUUAAGGACACUCCGUAAAGUCGGGGGAUGUAUAUGUAUUCUAGGGGGUUCAUCCGAACCCCCUUCAUCAGAAAAUUAUACUAUUUUUACAUGGUAAAAUUUUUUUUAUGUAUAAAUAAUAGAGGUUGAACCCCCUUCGACUAGUCUGUAUAUGUACUACUGAACCCCCUCACUGAAAAUCCUGGAUCCGCCCCUGACUAGAUUUGAAGUUGGUGUUGCAUGUAUACAGAUUUUUCUACUCGAACACCAUAAAAUAACAAUGCCUUCAUUGAAAUUUAGAUAUGUUUCGAGUCUGUUCGCAUCUCAUCACAAAAACUAACCAGAUUUAUACAGAGGUGUCCUUCCAUUUGCGAGUUAACUUUGAUACAUUGUGACAUUCUUUGUUAUGUCAUACUGCCGGAUCUGAAACAACUCAAAAAGGUUCAUGUGAAUUGUCUCAAAAGAAAUAGAAUAGAAAUAAAAGCUCGAAUCUGCGGGAGUUUCACUUGUGUAGUUCAUCAUGUAUUACCAAAAUUAAGUUUUACGUUUCUUACAAGGAAAAUAAAAGUAAUACCAUAAUUACUUUUAUUUUUCCUAAAAAGAAUAUAUAUAUAAUUCUUUUCCAUAUUUGGCUAACCUCUUUCUUGAAGAAAGUUUUUGAAACUGAAAACUCCCUUCUAAUACAAGAACACAAAAAUUUGUUUAGGAAAAGAUCUUCUCCCAACAAAAUUUUAUGUUUUGCAAAUAUUAGUUUUCACAUAUAGGUCGUUUAACCAAAUCAUAUUAAUAAUAUGUUUUUAAUAUGUUUUUCUUAGUCAUCUUAUUUAUCAUCUCAUGGUUUGCAAACUAUUAGCUUCUGCAUGAUGCCCUCUCGAUUCCGAACCCAACACAUCAUUAUCAACUUGAUUUGUCCACUUCUACUAAGAUACAAGUCCUGAUCGAAUAUAUAUUCUACGAUUAUUCUCAUGGAUUUACUCAGGAGGUUUGUUCAGCAUUCCUGUGUCUAAAAUCCUUAUUGUCACACCCCUUUUUCGUCUCCAAAAAGAUAUGGUUUAAGGUUCGAAAGGGUUUUGAUUUAUUGAGUGACAAAAGAUUGAAAAUUAGUUUCGAAAAGGGAUUAUUUAAAUUUUUAUUCAGAGUCGCCACUUGACAUAAACUCGGUGUGCCAAGUCACCUUUUAAAAUCCUUUUCAAAAUCAUUUGUCUCUUUGAAACUGGUUUGCGAACAAAGAUUCUGGCUAAGGAAUUCUGUUGACCGGGGGGAAGGUGUUAGGCACCCCUCGAUCUCAUGGCUCGACCACAGUCGCUUGGUGGAGCAUAUCGGCAAAUUUUGACACUACGAAUAUACAAAUCGCACAAAACACGUAAAACAAUCAAACAGACAAACAAAACAAAAAUAAUUAAAAGUACAGUGUCCAGUCCAAUUUAUACAGUCCAAAUAUAAAAAUACAAAAAUAAAUCCUAUCUAACCUAUACUAAUUCUAACUAUGCUCCUGUGCUUUACCCGAUGCCUCGGGCCUUCACCACAAAUAUUUUUCAAGUACAAGAUACCUCGGGGCAUUCCCCGGAUAAAUCAGUACAAGUACUUCGGCGCAUUCCCUGGCCAAAUGAUACAAAGGAUCCCAACACAAUAUAGCUAGAAAAAACCAUUCAAUCACAUAACUCAAAUAUUCCAUCAAUCCACAAUCCCUACAUUUGCCUAUCCGACCUACGUUUGCCUAUCUGUUUUAACAAAAUUCAUGCUUAUUCCAAAUUAAAGCGCUAAUAAUGAAUCAAAACAAAUACGUAUUCACUUUUAUCAAUUAUUCAAUCCUCAAUCCCACCCCAAUUUAAUUUUAAACCAAAAUUCAAACAUAAUAAUUCACACCACUAGCUCCAACAAUCCACAACUAUUGUAAACUCAAUAUUCAUCAUUCACAUCACACACAAGCAAUUAAAGAUAUUCAAUUCAACACAUCAAACAUCACUAAUAAAUGAAAUAAAGGAUGAAAGGAGUAGAAUUGGAACUCAAGAGCGCAGAUUUUUCACUGGUAAUAAUGAAUUAAUGAAAGCCAAAGUCCGAAAUUCAAAAGCUCGAAGAGGAAACCUCAAUACAACCUGACCGACCCCAAUAAAAGACAACGACUAACCCAAACUCAAAUAGAGGUUCUCGAAUGAAAUCCAUGACUAUCGUCACUUAAAACUCAAUCAGUGGGAAUAUUACCUUUUUCGAUGUAUUUCUGCUGUCGAAACAGUGGCAGUAGCAGCGGUGAAGUUUGAUCGUAGGUUGUCGAAUGAUUUCCGAUAGGUUGCAUCUGUGGUUGAUCGGUGAUGGGCGACAGAACAAUUUUCCAGUAGAACUGGCCAGAAUCAGCCCAUAAUAGGUCGACUUUAGUUGUUUUGGGGCUGUUUUUGCCAAUUUCGACUGCGGAUGAGCCCUUUCCGGCGAGCUUCAGGCAAAGACUCGCCGGCUUCCGAUCACUCUCUCUCUCUCUCUUGAUUUUUCACUCUCUUCUCACCCUCUCUCCAUUCUUCUCCGAUAUCUUCGCCACUCAAUGUCUUUUCUGAUUUUCUAAGAUUUUCCUACAUGUGUAAAGGUGAGUCUGAAUUUGGUAGAUUAGUGCAUAGAUGUAUUGACUGUGUGUUUACAGUGUGUUCUUCAGUGAUUUUCAAAGAUGGAGACUAUGUGCUAUCUUCAAUGGAGUGUAUGUGUGUUGUGCGUUUGUUGUGUAUAAUCAAUGGAGAAACUGUGGAUCUUGGGUAUGAAUUGUGAAGGGACUCUGGGUUGUUGCCUUUGAUAUGGUCUGCUAAUGGAGAGGGGUGUGAGGAUUGUGUGUAGGUGUCUUGGUGAAGAAGAAGGAAAAGGAAAAUGGAGUAUGUGUAUUGUGAUGAUGAGAAAAACAUGACCCCCCCUGUAAAUGUCACUGUGUAUAUGGAUUUGUAUAUGAAUCACCUAGGUCCCCCUUGAAUAUUCCUUCUUUUGUUUGUUUUAUCCCAUCCAGAAAAGAAAAAACGU